UACUAGAGACCGGCGCACGGGUGCGUAACGCGUAUGCAAUCUACCUUUUACAGAGGGAUAGCCCAGAGAAAUUUGGAUUAAUACCUCAUAGUAUAGCGACCUGGCAUCAGGAUGUUAUUAAAGUCACAACGGUAAAAGAUGAGCAUGCGUCCCAUUAGCUAGUUGGUAAGGUAACGGCUUACCAAGGCGACGAUGGGUAGGGGUCCUGAGAGGGAGAUCCCCCACACUGGUACUGAGACACGGACCAGACUCCUACGGGAGGCAGCAGUGAGGAAUAUUGGACAAUGGGCGCAAGCCUGAUCCAGCCAUGCCGCGUGCAGGAUGACGGUCCUAUGGAUUGUAAACUGCUUUUGUACAGGAAGAAACCCUUUCACGUGUGAGAGAUUGACGGUACUGUAAGAAUAAGGAUCGGCUAACUCCGUGCCAGCAGCCGCGGUAAUACGGAGGAUCCAAGCGUUAUCCGGAAUCAUUGGGUUUAAAGGGUCCGUAGGCGGCCAGAUAAGUCAGUGGUG
rnacentral:rRNA from 1 species